CCUCGCCGCCAGAGUGUUUGCCAGUAUUGGGAAGACUUCCUGUGUACCUGGAUAAGCCUGGACCGUCUACCCCUGGAAGGAUUUACUGAGUCUCACUGAGCAAGGGGAAAACCUCCACAUGAUCCGUUCAAGUUCACUCCUGGAAAACCAAUUGACAGUCCGCUCCUUUACUCCCCUGGGUCUAACCUAUGUCUGCCUGUCCGCUCUCAAACAAGUUCCUUCUUCUCUAGAUUAAACCCCCACAAACUGGAUCCAAGGAUAAACCAAGAGCCCCCCAAAACUUUGCCUCGACUGCUCCUGUUUGGCUCUGACGCCAUCCUGGAAAGAAACAUCAGCUGUGCUGGUUCCAUCAACACCCUUGUUUAUAGAUGCUGGAGAUUGGCCUGUUUUCAAGUGUGGUCCUGUUU